rnacentral:lncRNA from 1 species
GUACAGUAUUAUUGUUAUUUAUUUAACUAGGCAAGUCAGUUAAGAACAAAUUCUUAUUUUCAAUGACAGCCUAGGAACAGUGGGUUAACUGCCUGUUCAGGGGCAGAAUGACAGAAUAGUACCUUGUCAGCUCGGAGGAUUUGAGCUUGCAACCUUCCGGUUACUAGUCCAACACUCUAACCACUAGGCUACCCUGCCGCCCUCCUAAGCCGACUAUUAUGAAGCUGUUGAAGCCUCACAAUCAUCAUGCCCUUGCUAUUGCUACAGUAACGGUCCCUGUCCCCACCAGUAGUGUAGCAGCAGCCCCACUUGGCCUUGACCUUCAGUCAUUUCAGCACAAACAAGACAGGAAUUCAGAGAAUGCGCUCGUGGAGCAAAGGCUCCGGCGGCUGCUGUGUUGGCCACUGGCCAUCUCCCCAGACGCAACUGAAGACCACCAGCAAGACGGGAGAAAAGAGCCCCAAUCCGACAACUUCCUGCAUGAAUGUGUAUAGCCUCGGCGCACGCAGGCAAAACAGGAUGCAUGUUGAAAAAUAACAAGAGGCAGUGGAGGCUGGAGGACAGAAAAGUGGUCCGGGAAGUGGGAAGUGGUCCGUACGAAUGGAUAGGAGUUAAUGACGCUGCUGUUGAGUGGGUUUCCUUAGAAAUAGAACCAUUAGAACCAUGGAAAUUUGACUACAUCGUCAUGGGUGGUACACUCAAUAUGGCCGCCCACCCACCCAUCAUGAAAUGUUGACUUGAAAGUGGAUAUCCAUUAGAGUAAUACAAUUUCUAUGAUUUCAGCUACUUGGUUGGAAUGCUCUGAGAUGGUAUGCCAUGGGAAGGAGGUAUCCUACAAUAGAUUUGAUGCGAUUUCAUCACUGAACAAGGAUAUCGAAUCCCUUUUGACUUCCUUUGCAUAUUCAUCUCUCACACUGAUCGUUAUGUGGGAUGAGUUACUACAUUUCCAAUAGCCAUGUUCCUGCUGUAUUUCAGAAAGAAAUAUACCACGUGAAUGUGACGUUCAAGGGUGGAAACAAGGGACCGAGUAGGCGUUUGUUCUCUGAUCCACUGAGAUACUUUGCUGCUUGUUCCAGACAUAAGGGGCUCACUUUCUUUUCCACCUCUGCUGAAACAACCCGCUCCCGAGUGGUGCCGUGCUCCAAGGCACUGCAUCUCAGUGCUAGAGGCGUCACUACAGACCCUGGUUCAAUUCCAGGCUGUAUCACAACCAGCUGUUAUUGGGAGUCCCAUAGGGCGGCACACGAUUGGCCCAGCUUUGCCUGGAUUAUGGUUUGGCCUGUGUAGCCUGUCAUUGUCAAUAAGAAUUUGUUCUUAACUGACUUUCCUAGUUAAAUAAAUUCAAAUAAAAACAGUCAGAAAAAGGAAGCUGGAGACUUGCUCUCUCUAGGAGGGGGACUACGGGAAAGAGUUUUUACCUGUCUCUAUCCUGUCACUGCAGAGGGGGCCUAAAAUAGGAUUGGAAGAAAAACUGGGAAGCGGUCUCUUCCUGUUGACUCGUUUCCUGUCAGUGAUAGAGGGCAACUCGGUACCAUGCACCAGCCCAGCCAUCUACUCUGGCCCUAUAGACCCACAGACAUGGCAGAUGAUCAUGGGCCAUCCUGUGACCUAGUACAACAUCCUUUGACAUCAGUAUUGGGCCUAUGACAUCACACUACAUCCCCCAUGUCCUCUUUUGUGUGGUCAUCUUAUGACAUGAACCGGUAGGUCCCGUGACAUCAUGUAUCACCCAGCUUUGUUGGAAAUCGAUGGACAUCAACGAUCAGCCUGUGACAGAAAAUGAUUUAAGUGGAAUUAUUAUGCAUUGCCACAAUACAGAUACCUAUGCUGAAAAUCCGAGCCUUGCAUAUUUCUGUUCUACUUUGCCACUAUGUCCUUGGUAACAGCUUAAAUGGGCAAAGUGUCAAAGUGAAAGUGGUUCUUCUGAAUAAAGGCCAAAAGAUGAACAAUUAUUAACCCUGCGUCACUGUGUGGCUCCCGGUUUCCGUCUGUUAACAAUAAAAUGACCAUACAGUUAAUUUAUUAUACUGGUUCUUGAGAACAAAGGAAAUCACAAGCAGGUAUAGUAACCGCUAUGUAGAGUAAAUCAUUCCCUCGUAGCUCGCAGGGUGGAUAUGUUCAGUAAGUGGAUUACUGCUCCACUGCUCCUCAGUUGGCAUCAAUCUGACAUUUCCAUAUUUCCACGUGCCUUAAGUCUGGGAACCAGUGAACAGGAUGAGUGACAGUGGACGGAGGGAGAACCUCCACUCUCACCCUAGGGUCCAUAAUCUGAUUGUUGUAAUUGAACACAAGGGAUUUGCGACAGUGGCCAUGUGUCCAGAGCUUUAGUUAGGAUCCCAGCUAAGGAUAACCUCCGUUCUCACAGAAACAGUCUGUAGAGCCACAUACUGAUGUUGGUCUUGAGUGGGCACAGUAUGUAGACAAUGACAUACAACACUAGGUGAUCAUCUCCAGGUAUCACUCAUUGAUGCAACUCUUGUCGGUAGAAGCUUUCAGGUCUGAGCCAUUGGAACAUUAUACUGCACUGCCCCUUUCUGUGGCCUACUUAUACACUGAGUGUACAAAACAUUAGGAACACCUGCUCUUUCCAUGACAUAAACUGACUAGGUGAAURCAGGUGAAAGCUAUGAUCCCUCUUGACGUCACUUGUAAAUCCACUUCAAUCAUGGUAUACGAAGGGGAGGAGACAGGUUAAAGAAGGAUUUGUAAGCCUUGAGACAAUUGACACAUGGAUUGUGUAUGAGUGCCAUUCAGAGGGUCAAUGUGUAGGACAAAAGAUUUAAGUGCCGUUGAACGGGGUAGUACGUGCCAGGCGCACCGGUUUCUGUGUGUCAAGAACUGCAACGGUGCUGUGCUUUUCACGCCUCAACAGUUUUCCGUGUAUGAAGAAUGGUCCACCGCCCAAAGGACAUCCAGCCAACUUGACACAACUGUGCAAAGCAUUGGAGUCGACAUGGGCCAGCAUCCCUGUGGAACGCUUGUGACACCUUGUCCAUGCCCCAAUGAAUUGAGGCUGUUCUGAGGGCAAAAGGGGUUGCAACUCAAUGUUAAUAGAUGUCCCUUAUGUUUUGUACACUCAGUGUACAUUGACAGGUGCCCAUGCUUUUAUUUUUCCUUUUUAUUUUUAUAUCCUUAUGAACCCUAUCAUUAUCAAUAUUGACCUAAUCUAAUGAGAUAAAAGGCUAAAAGGAAAGGUCAGAUGAAAUAUGUACCGCGUGUCAAUCAUAGCAAUGUAUGUGUUUGCUGCUGUUGAAAUCCCAUUAAUCCAAAAAGCAUUGGAUUCUAGAAAAAUAGCGGUCUGUAUUGAGGAACACUGAAUUGAACCUGCAUGCGCUCUUUAAAGAAACAAUUACACACGGUUGUUGAUACAGCAACAUUCCUUAUCGCUGCUUUGUUUGGUCAUUCCGUACUCCAAGCAAUCUCUUAUUGCAAUGGCACUGCUAUCGAAGGUGUAACCCGGGGUUUUGUUUAAAUAUCUCAGUAGUGUUCGCAUGCAGCCAUGAGACCCUCUAUGUGUGGGAAUGUUGUUUGCAAACUUUGUAUCUACAGGUCUGUUGAUUUGAUAAGAUUUUAUUUUUCAAAUAAGGCCUAACACAUGAAAUGGUGUAACAGAUUUUAUUGAACUAUUCAAUUAGUAUUGCACCAAUCAUUUUUAGCUUCUCGGUCUUUAUGAACCCUCUGAACACAGAUGUCACGACUUGGCCCUUUUGCGUGUAUAUCGUGGCUCUUCCACCUCAGGUGUUACAACAGUCAUAAAUUCCUGGUAGAAACUCUCUUUUCUGCCAUGGAGUAUGGGGGGAAAGAAAACUCUGGAUGAACAAAGAGCUUCUCUUGCCUAAUCCCCAAAAUGGGAAAAUUAAACAAUAUUUCUAUUUUUGAGAAUGUGGGAAUGGUCCGUGGACACUUAAGGGACAGUCAUGUCGAGUGUGCUUCAUUUGGUGAUCUCAUGAAGGACAGGAAACACACACAGCUGUAUCUCUUAAAGUGGACAUUUCCCAGCAGUCAGGUUUAUAUCUGAAUGUUGUAUAAGAUGAAUGAAUAAAUAUAAGAAUACUUUUGAAAAGAUAACAAUGUGAUUUAGUCUUCUAAAUGAGAAUUGGUUGUUUUAUGGUAACUUAUGCACAGUCAGUCGCCACACCCAGGUGUGCACAAACAUGAUGAGACGGCCCCUUUUCUACCCAAGUAUAAAAGCCACCGUGACGCAAUUCACACCAGACCACGCAAACCCCGGUGUAAGCUAAGGUUGCAAAUAGUUGAAUUUCUAAGACCAGACAGCGUGAGGUGGUGGCUACACGGCUGACACAUGGUUUAAAACUACAAGACCAGAAAAGUAUGGAGCUAACGCUCCAUGUUGAAAUGGUUAAGAACUACAACUCCUCCAAAGGACAAGACCAGAGAACGUGUAGAUCAUUCCCACGUUGAAAUGACGAAGAAAUCAACAAACUAAAGAAUAAUUAUUCAGACUGCAGCUGUUUAAAUCCUUUAGUCUGGUAAACACAUCUGAUUCUAAGGACAAUUCCAGAUGGUUCUCUGAAGUAUCCAAUCUAACUACGACAGACUGAAUAGGGACGGUGAUGGACCAG